rnacentral:rRNA from 1 species
UUUGAUACCCAUUUAUUCCGACGCAAACUUUGCUGUGGCAGCUGCUUGAGUACUACGAGUGCUUAAAACUCAAAGAACUUGGCGGCUCGUUAACUACCUAGGGGAAUAUGCGCCUUAAUCCGAUGAUCCCCGUAUUAUCUUACUGUACCUCGAAGGCGAACAGCUGGUGUAUUGCCGUCGUCAGCUUGUUGUUUGAGCAAACAGAAACAAGCGCAAUGGACCUAGGAUCCGUGAAUUCAGGUCGAAAUGCUGCCGAAGGUACAAGGGAGUGGGUGUUACAAUUUUAAUUUGAAACGACGGAUCCCGUGCAAUUGAAGGCGAACUUAGGAGUAAGGGAAGAUUAAUAUGCUACCCUGAACUGAAACUGACUUGUGUACAAACCGCCCGUCGCUCUCGCC